rnacentral:rRNA from 1 species
UCGACAACGGAUAUCUCGGCUCUCGCAUCGAUGAAGAACGUAGUGAAAUGCGAUACUUGGUGUGAAUUGCAGAAUCCCGUGAACCAUCGAGUUUUUGAACGCAAGUUGCGCCCGAAGCCUUCUGGCCGAGGGCACGUCUGCCUGGGCGUCA